rnacentral:rRNA from 1 species
UACAUAGGGUGCAAGCGUUAAUCGGAAUUACUGGGCGUAAAGCGUGCGCAGGCGGCUUCUCAAGUCAGGGGUGAAAGCCCAGAGCUCAACUCUGGAAUUGCCUUUGAGACUGUGAGGCUUGAGUACGGGAGAGGUGAGUGGAAUUCCCAGUGUAGAGGUGAAAUUCGUAGAUAUUGGGAAGAACACCGGUGGCGAAGGCGGCUCACUGGCCCGAAACUGACGCUCAUGCACGACAGCGUGGGGAUCAAACAGG